rnacentral:rRNA from 1 species
CUAGAUAUAUACAAGACAUGACAGUCAAUUUUUUCGAGAGUUUGAUCCUGGCUCAGGAUGAACGCUGGCUGUGUGCCUAAUACAUGCAUGUCGAGCGGAGUUCCUUCGGGAACUUAGCGGCGAAUGGGUGAGUAACACGUACUUAACAUGCCCUUUAGAUUGGAAUAACGAUGAGAAAUUAUCGCUAAUGCCGGAUACUUAUUUAGAUCGCAUGAUCAAAAUAAAAAAGGAGCCUUUAAAGCUCUGCUAAAGGAUUGGGGUGCGUAGCAUUAGCUAGUUGGUAAGGUAAUGGCUUACCAAGGCGAUGAUGCUUAGCGGGGUUGAGAGACUGAUCCGCCACACUGGGACUGAGAUACGGCCCAGACUCCUACGGGAGGCAGCAGUAGGGAAUUUUCCACAAUGGGCGAAAGCCUGAUGGAGCGACACAGCGUGCGGGAAGAAGGCCUUCGGGUUGUAAACUGCUGUUAUUUGGGAUGAAAAAGUAGUAGAGGAAAUGCUAUUACCUUGACAGUACCUUAUCAGAAAGCAACGGCUAACUAUGUGCCAGCAGCCGCGGUAAUACAUAGGUUGCAAGCGUUAUCCGGAAUUAUUGGGCGUAAAGCGUCUGUAGGUUGUUUGUUAAGUCUGACGUCAAAACUUGGGGCUCAACCCCAAAUCGCGUUGGAUACUGGCAAACUAGAAUUGUAUAGAGGUUAACGGAAUUCCUUGUGAAGCGGUGAAAUGCGUAGAUAUAAGGAAGAACACCAACUGGCGAAGGCAGUUAACUGGGUACAUAUUGACACUGAGAGACGAAAGCGUGGGGAGCAAACAGGAUUAGAUACCCUGGUAGUCCACGCCGUAAACGAUGAUGAUUAGCUAAUGGGAACCAUUGGCACAGCUAACGCAUUAAAUCAUCCGCCUGAGUAGUAUGCUCGCAAGAGUGAAACUUAAAGGAAUUGACGGGGAUCCGCACAAGCGGUGGAGCAUGUGGUUUAAUUUGAAGAUACGCGUAGAACCUUACCCACUCUUGACAUCUUCCGCAACGCUAUAGAGAUAUAGUUGAGGUUAACGGAAUGACAGAUGGUGCAUGGUUGUCGUCAGCUCGUGUCGUGAGAUGUUCGGUUAAGUCCUGCAACGAGCGCAACCCUUAUCCUUAGUUAGAUGAUCUAGGGAGACUGCCCGGGUAACCGGGAGGAAGGUGGGGACGACGUCAAAUCAUCAUGCCUCUUACGAGUGGGGCAACACACGUGCUACAAUGGACGGUACAAAGAGAAGCAAUACGGCGACGUGGAGCAAAUCUCAAAAAACCGUUCUCAGUUCGGAUUGUAGUCUGCAACUCGACUACAUGAAGUCGGAAUCGCUAGUAAUCGUAGAUCAGCUACGCUACGGUGAAUACGUUCUCGGGUCUUGUACACACCGCCCGUCACACCAUGGGAGCUGGUAAUGCCCGAAGUCGGUUCGUUAACUACGGAGACAACCGCCUAAGGCAGGACUGGUGACUGGGGUGAAGUCGUAACAAGGUAUCCCUACGAGAACGUGGGGAUGGAUCACCUCCUUUCUA